rnacentral:tRNA from 2 species
GGAUGGGUGGCCGAGCGGUUUAAGGCACCGGUCUUGAAAACCGGCGUGGGGUCAUGCCCACCGUGGGUUCGAAUCCCACCCCAUCCGCCA